UACGAAGGGGGCUAGCGUUGCUCGGAAUCACUGGGCGUAAGGCGCACGUAGGCGGAUCUUUAAGUCAGGGGUGAAAUCCUGGAGCUCAACUCCAGAACUGCCUUUGAUACUGGGGAUCUCGAGUCCGGAAGAGGUGAGUGGAAUUCCGAGUGUAGAGGUGAAAUUCGUAGAUAUUCGGAAGAACACCAGUGGCGAAGGCGGCUCACUGGUCCGGUACUGACGCCGAGGUGCGAAAGCGUGGGGAGCAAACAGG
rnacentral:rRNA from 1 species